rnacentral:lncRNA from 1 species
AUGGAUUUUUUUGGAAUUCUGCUGACAGAGAAAGAUUUGGGAUCGUUCCUGGAUGAAAUUCCCAAGGAUGAGGAGGAAUCUCUUCCCACUCUGGAAGAAGUUGCCCAAAGGAACAAUGGAGAUUUUAUCCCAGAAAUUUCUGAUGGCUCCAACACGGAAAAUUCCCAACUCUUCCAAGAUUCCCUGGAUUUCCUUACUCCGGAAUUUUCCCCUCCAUCCCCUCCUCCACCUCCCAUGGAUCCCUUUUACCCCCCAAACCCCGACGGGACCAUCCCAGAUCCUCCGGAAGAAGUCCUGGAAGCUCUGAGAACUUUGGGAUUCGAUUCCUUCCGACCCGGCCAGGCUGAGGCCAUCAUGAGGGUCCUUUCCGGUUCGAUUUUCUCGCCUUUUUUUUCCUUCAUUUCCCCCCCUUUUCCCUUUUUUCCUGCCCUUUUUCCCUUCAUUUUUCCUGAUUUUUUUCCCCCUACUUUUUCCCUGCCCUUUUUUCUUUCCAUUUUCCCACUCUUUUUUUUCUUGCCACUUUUUCCCUGGUUUUCAUACUCUUUUUCCCUGCAUUUUUCCCCCUCCAUUUUUCCCACCCUUUUUUCCCCUCUCCUUUUCCCUCAGCUUUUCCCGCCCUUUUUCCCCACUUUUUCCCUCAGUUUUUCCUGCUCUUUUACCCUUUUCCGCUCAGUUUUCCUGCUCUUUUUCCCUCAGUUUUUCCUGCCCUUUUUCCCACUUUUCCCCUAAUUUUUUCCUUCAGUUUUUCCACCCUUCACAAUUUCCCCUCAGCUUUUCCCUCUUUUUUUCCCCCACACUUUUCCCUCAGUUUUUCCUUGUUUUUCCCUCCCUUUUCCCCUCAUUCCCCCCUCAUUUUUCCUGCCAUUUUCCCGCUUUUUCCACCCUUUUCCCCACCACUUUUCCCUCAGUUUUUUCCUCAAUUUUUCCUUCCCUUUUCCUCACAUUUUCCUCUCAGUUUUCCCCACACUUUUCCCACCUUUCCCCCUCAGUUUUUCUCUCAGUUUUCCCCACCCUUUUCUUCACAAUUUCCUCAUAGC